CUUCCCCCUUCUAUGUGAAGGGGGUACCCUCCUCCACGUGAUUCCUACAGCAGUUCAAGCCGGGGAGCACCAAGAGGAGGUGGCCGUGGAGGAAGCCGAUCUGAUAGAGGGGGAGGCAGAAGCAGAUACUAGGAACAAACAACUUUUGGACCAAAAAUCCCCAUUCAAACAAACAAACAAAAAUGGAAACUUUCUGUCAUAAACUACCCAAGGACUACUAAAAGGAAAAAUUGUGUUACCUUCUUAAAAUUUCCUGUUCUCCUUAAUAAUUUUUAUGUUCUUGUGAGGGAAAAAGUAAGACAUGUUUAAUUUUAUUUGAUAUUAUGAGUUGCUUUUAACAAGCAAAUGUUAAAUGUGUAAGCCUUGACUUGUACUAGUGUUGUAAUUUUCCAAGUAAAAGUGUCCCUGAAGGCCACUUCCUGAUUUUUCCCAGUAAAUGAGGAAAGCAAUCCUAAGAUCUUCCACAAACUUUCAGCCAUAUAGAUGUCCUUUGGUCUCCAUUGAGGGAUGAAUUGCCCUGCCUAUGUAGACAAGCUAGCUAGCUAUUCGAGAGGGUUGGUUGGGUGUGCUACUCUUAAGAUUUCAGGGUGUCUUCCAACUGAGAUCUCAAUAUUCACAGUAAAAAAAAACCCUGAGAUCAGAUGCCUAGGAGGGUGCUAUUUACCCAGAAGCCCAAGAAAGCAAAUGGAUGCUGGCCAUAUUUUGCUUUUCUGACAUUUCCUUGGGAAUCUACAAGAAACCUCCCUUUUCCCCUCCCCUAGUAAGACCAUUUAAGUGUGUGUUAAACAACUACAGAAUACUAAAUAAAAAGUUUGGCCAAAACCAACCAUGAAGCUGCAAAACGAUGCUUGCUCUUACUGUUUCAAAUUUUUGCAACUCUGUAGUGUCUCACUUUUAAAGGAACAGCUUGAUUGCAAAGGAGAAAAUAGAUAAGCAAUGAAGUUAUCUCCAACUUCCUAAAGGCUUAUGACUUCUAAAAAGUGAAUCUAUCAGCAUUCCACAUCAGAUUUAAAGCACCAAAUGCCUGUGAAACAGCAGAGAUGGUUGAACCUAAUGGUCCUACUGUCAUGGAGUGCUGAUUGAUUCAGAGCAGAUAAAGCUGGCAGUAAGAAAAAACAUCAAAUGCUCAGAGUUGUUGAAGCAGAGGAAUGCUGAGACUAAGCUGCAGCAGUUACAUACCCAGUGCUCGACAGAAUUGGUUUGGUACAGGCAAUAGAUUCUUUUUGUCUUCAAGGGAGGGAGGCAUCAGUGCUGGUUAAACCUUAAUUAGGGAGUAGCGAUCAUUUAAAAUUGACCAAAGGAAGAGAGGGAGAUGGAGAAAUUGGUAAGUGGAGGUACCUAGCCAAGAAGUUCUCAUGGCUCUUUGUGUUGAGGCAAAGUAAUGGGGCAACUGUGCAAUUUAGAGCUGACGCUCACUGAGUUAGCUGGGACUAUAUAACUCCAUGGUGGAGUGCUUGCCUAAGUUCAAUCCCUGGCACCACACACAGACAAAGAACACUCAAUCAGAAAGCUGCUUCCAUAAUAGCCUUCUGCACUGAUGUCUGAUUUUCAGCAAGUAAACCGUCUGAGGAAUUACCUUAUGGGGGGGGGGGAAACAUUACGUGUCCUAUAAAACUUUGAAGGGGAGGAGGAAUGCUAGGAAAUAAAAGUAAAAACUGAAACAUUGUUAGGAUGGUGGGAAGCAUGCUGGAAACAAGUAUAGGUCACCAAGUCAGUGUAGUUCUAUAAAGCUACUUGAUCUCAGGGCUCAGGCUUCAAAACAAAUCAGGAUCCAACUCUGGUUUUGCUUUGGAAACUUAAGAGCCAGGAGUGUAAGUGUUGGUGUUCUCACAGGAAGCAGGUUGUUGUAGGGCUAAAGGAUUUAACUCAACUUCUGAGAUUUUUCUUACAAAGUCAUUUAGUACUGUUACAUUUAGCAUUUAUGACUACGGAGAAUGAUCCAAAACACUUAAGCCCCAUUGGUCACAUUUAUCAUCAGAUGGUGAGGGUACUGACCAAAUUUUAGUAGUUGUGCUUGAAUAGCUACCUUAAGCCUUCGGUAGUCUAAUAAUUCCUUGAGUAGGUGCUUCUGUCAAGAACCUUCAGCUCUCAAGCAUUUAUUUAGACUUCUUAACGAUAGUUUAGCAUAGGGAAUACUAGAGUAAAAGUAAAUGCUGAAUUCAAAGGAGUGGGAAGAAAUUAUUCAGAGACCUUUUUGACAAAUAGUAACGUUUACAGACCCAACCGUUCUUAAAAAUCUUCAAUUAGGAAAACUCUCCUUGAUUUCUUCUGGCUAAAUACUGGUUGUAAAAUGAUUUGAAUAAUACAAAAAGUGGUGUGGUUUAUUUGGUUUUGUAGUUGGAUAGAGUGUAGGUAUUGUAGAUCACUUUUUUGGAAUGUUUUGUAUUGAAACCCAAUAAAACUUGAACAUGUA